rnacentral:rRNA from 1 species
AUUGAACGCUGGCGGCAUGCUUUACACAUGCAAGUCGAACGGCAGCGCGGGCUUCGGCCUGGCGGCGAGUGGCGAACGGGUGAGUAAUGCAUCGGAACGUGCCCAGUAGUGGGGGAUAGCCCGGCGAAAGCCGGAUUAAUACCGCAUACGACCUGAGGGUGAAAGAGGGGGACCGAAAGGCCUCGCGCUAUUGGAGCGGCCGAUGUCGGAUUAGCUAGUUGGUGGGGUAAAGGCUUACCAAGGCGACGAUCCGUAGCUGGUCUGAGAGGACGACCAGCCACACUGGGACUGAGACACGGCCCAGACUCCUACGGGAGGCAGCAGUGGGGAAUUUUGGACAAUGGGGGCAACCCUGAUCCAGCCGUGCCGCGUGCGGGAAGAAGGCCUUCGGGUUGUAAACCGCUUUUGUUCGGGAAGAAAUCCUCUGGGCUAAUACCCCGGGGGGAUGACGGUACCGGAAGAAUAAGCACCGGCUAACUACGUG